UUGAAAAACUUUCAUGUAGAUCUUAAUAGAACUUGAUUGAUAUACAUUAAGACUGUGGAGUUAAAAAAAUUGAACAGAGGAUUUAUAUUCUUUAGAUAUACGAAAUGCAAUUUGGAAUGUGUGUGAAAUAUUUGUAGAUUUCGAUUUGAUCAGCACAGUGCUUGGACUAUUCUUGUAUAUUAUGAUUCGAUUUUACGGCUAAUUAACAUUUUCAAGUUAUCUGAAUUGUUACUUUUCAUAAUAAACUUUGUUAUUGUUAAAAGUUGCUGGGUUUUUUUACCUAAAGUAUUUUAUGUAACAAGAAAUUGUAACCAUUAUAAAUAACACAAGAGUUAAGGAAUAUUUUAGUCUUGAAUAUACAACAGAAAACAUCACUACCAGGAUGGUUUGGUGUUGUUUUUUUUUUAUCAGGACUGGCAUUUUCCUGGACUUCUUUUCUCUCCCCAUCCACGAUGUAAACAACAGAAACAACAGAUCCGACCAUAUCUUAUGCUGAAUUUUCUUGUGGUUUUAAAAGUCUAAUUAACAAAUAUAUUAUAUUUGUGAAGGCAGUAACUGUUGUUUAUUUUAAGAAAUGGCUUACUCGUGGACAUAUCUUUCUCAUGGUCUCAAUACUUUUGAAGUCGUUGUCCUGUAAAAUAAGGUGAUCUAUACGUAGACAAAGUCAAGAAUAACUCUGGAUUCGGGUCUACUGCAUUGUUUUUCCCGAUUUCACAGUUCCGGCCAUUUCAGUACCGGUGAUUACGGGAGGUCAUCUGUUCGUGAUGAAAUAAAGACGGUCGUACCUACGUUUGUUUAUAUUUUUAUCAGGCAUUGCUUCUAGAAUGAUUAUAAGGAUUCCUUCAACUGAUAGUAACUGUUAUGACAAUAUUCCUUUUCUAAGAUACUGCUGAUCAGAAUACUCGAACGAUAAUUUUAUCUAGUGGCGUUUAUGAAAAUGUAGGGAGGCAAACAGGCAAACAUGAUUGCCGUAACAAUACUUUUCUUCAAGGUUUUUUUUUUCAAAUAGAACACUAAAGUGUGAUAAAAGGAAGUUUAUUUCAAAGCAUAUUUUGAAGCCAUUCUGAGUUUUUCUAUGAAACGUUAAUUUUAUCCAUCACCAGUCUUUAUUAUAUGUCAUUGCUAACUGGUAUGCGAAGGGUGUUGCACAUUUAAGUUGCUCUCAUGCACAGACUCAGUCAAAACUAGUCUGUUUUUACAGGGCAGCCUUACACGAUUCCAGUGGAAAUUCUUAUAGAUUUCACAGUGGCAGUGUGGUUGCAGUAUACAUCGCCCUUGUCUUAAACCCAGUGCUGUUAUACUUUCUAUCUGUCAUUUGGGAUCAUGAAGUCAACAGAUGUCCGCUUAAGCCGUUGCUAAGCCCUUAGGGGCUUGACGGAUUAUGUUCAUUUCAUUACCUCGUUCAUAAAUCGUUUGCCUCCGAUGUGACGUCGAAAUAAACUUGACAAAUUAUAUAUCAUUGGAGAGAUAAUUUUAAUACAAACUUGAAAAUAAAGAUUUUUUGCCGUAUUUUUAUUGUAUAUAAAAACGCUACUUAAAACAACUUGUCAAGUACGUCAUUUUGUGCUCUGCUGAAAAACUGACGUUAGUGGUCAUGUUUUGAGAUUUACAGCUGCAAAAAGAAGAAUAACAGAAAACUGAAAACUACCAGUCAAUCGGAAAUAUCGUCAACUUUAAUUUAGCAAAAUUUCAUAACAGUCCGUUGAAAAUCUUAAAAGGGACAAUUUCAUUUAAAAUUAACGAAGUUUUUAUUAACUGAAUGUUAAUUCUAUCAUGCAAGAUGAACCUGUAGUUUUAGAAUAUGUAUAGGCAUUAUUUGAUACUAGGGAUAGGAACGAAUACUGAAAUAUUCGAAUAUUCGAUUUGUUUUAAUGGAAGCUUUAAAUUCUUAUUAAGUGAUUGGCAAUACACAAUGUAUUCCUUUGUUUAAAGCGUGAAUUAUCGUACGUAAUAAGGCCUAAAAAUGUUUGUUUCGGGUAACCUAACCCGACCCUACCUAGUUAAACCCGCCGACCCUAGCGUGCUUUUUCACGUUUCUGUUAGUAUAAUCGUGAACAUAUUUAAUUAAUUCAGUGUUUUAGCUUCAAAAUGAUACAAAAUAAAAAUGAAAUCGAUUAUAAUUUAGACCGUCGAAACUUUAUCUAAAAGUAGCAGGUCGUCCCAUUUAAGCACGUGUCGAGCUGUUGUAUUACCGCCGCCAUUUUGAAAAUUUUCAAUCGACGUGUAAAAAGUAAGUAAGGCAGACUUAAACCUCCUUUAACAUGAUCUGAUGCAUCAAUCAUAUGUUAUUUCUUGAUUUUAUUAUAAACUACUUCAACAUUUAUUUCGAAUACGGCCGAUUGCGGAAGAAAACCGAUUCUGCGGACGGUCUGAAAUGUCGUACAAAAUAUUGCAAAAAGAUAGACAAUAUCUACAAGUUUGGUAUUGUUUUCACAAAAAAAAUAAAUUCUAAAACUUGUUACAUAAAACAGGCGCCAAUAAAAAUGAACAAACGAUAAAAAGGUAUCCCAUUCACGCCUAAUGACACUCGGGUCAAGCAGGUUGAAGAGCGCGUUGAGCGGCCGCAACACGUUGCACAUCGCUCUCGCACAGGUGACGAGUAGGGUGGAGCAUUUGGAGAAGGAGCGCGAUAACUUCAGGGACGAUAUGACAUAUUUGAAAUCCCAGUCAAUGAGGAAUAACCUCGUUUUUACCGGCGUACCGGAAGUCACGGAAAGUAAGCUCCGGGUGCACCUUCAUAAGGCCCUGAAGAUCGCGAAAGAGGUUGCGGAUAAUAUGCAGUUUGAACGGGUACAUCGCUCACCGGGUCAACCUACCUCAGGAAAGACCCGAUCUAUCAUAGCAAAGUUCGCCUUCUUCAAGGACCGCGAGACUGUCCGACGGCAAUGGAAGAAUUUGAUCUGUACUAACUUAAAUAGUUUUGAACAGUUCCCACAGGAAGUUGUUGCCAGGGGUCGAAAAUGAUACCGAAGAUGAAAGAGGCGAGGGGGCAAGGCAAGAGAGCUUGGAUUACCUACGACACCCUCUACAUCGACGGCCGUCCAGUCAAGGAAUAGGGGUAUGAUGGGGGAGAAAUCACGAUCUUGUCGUGGAAUGUAAAUUGACUUACUAAGUGCAAGAACGAUGAUCAGUUACUUGUUAACAUUUUGUCAAAAUAUGAUAUUUGUUUUUUAUUUGAAUCCUGGACUAAUUCUUCAAGUAACAUUAACUUAAACGGAUACAUUUCUCAUAAUUUUUAUAGGAAAUUCCAGAAUAGAAAUGCGCGUAGAUGUAGCGGUGGAGUAGUUUUAUAUUAUAAAGAAUAUUUAAAAGAUGGAAUUGGAAUCAUACAAAAUCAUCAUGAUUCAAUUAUUUGGGUGAAACUUGAUAGAAAGUUUUUGGUGUUAUGGAAGAUAUUUAUCUUUGCGGUUGUUAUGUUUGGUGCGAAGAUUCACCUGCGUAUAAUAUUUUAAGUGUCGAUUUCUUUUAUUUACUAGAAAAUGACAUUGCCAUUUAUGAUAAACGUGGUCAGGUUUUUCUUUGUGGUGUCUUUUAAUAGUAGAAUAGAAGAUAUGCUGGUCAGAAUAUCUUCAUGUCUUUGUUGCAAUGAAUUAGAUAUUGAAGAUGAAUAUCACUUUGUUUGUAAAUGGUCUACCUACGCUAAUAUUAGGCGAAAGUAUUUGAAGCAAUGCUAUUACAACCGACCUUCUGUUUACAAAUUCCACCAAUUGUUAAAUACAACUGAUAGAUCCGAACUUGUUAAAUUAGCAAACUUUGUUAAAGAAGCAUUAGUUUUAAGAAAUAAUUGUCUUAAUAUUGUAACAUAAUUAUGUUUUUACAUUUUUAUUCAUUUAAGUAUACACAGAUUGCACAUGUUAUACAUUUUAAACACUUA